rnacentral:rRNA from 1 species
AUUGAACGCUGGCGGAAUGCCUUACACAUGCAAGUCGAACGGCAGCACGGGGGCAGCCCUGGUUGCGGGUGGCCAACGGGUGAGUAAUACAUCGGAACGUCCCCGGCCGCUGGGGCUAACGUAGCGACAGUUACGCUCCUACCCCAUCCCCUCUGAGGAUGAACGCGGGGGACCUUCGGACCUCCCGCGCUCGCGCCGUCCGAUGUCCCAUUAGGUAGUUGGGGGGGUAACGGCCUACCCAGGCGCCGAUGCGUAGCUGGUCUGAGAGGCCGACCCGCCACACUGGGGCUGAGACACGGGCCAGACUCCUACGGGAGGCAGCAGUGGGGAAUUUUGGACAAUGGGCGCAAGCCUGAUCCAGCCAUACCGCGUGGAGGACGAAGGCCUUCGGGUUGUAAAGUGCUUUUGUACGGAACGAAAAGGAGCUGGCUAAUACCUGGGGGUCAUGACGGUACCGUAAGAAUAAGCACCGGCUAACUACGUG